CGUGUAGGCGGGGAUACAAGUCAGAUGUGAAAUACCGUGGCUUAACCACGGGGCUGCAUCUGAAACUGUAUUUCUUGAGUGUCGGAGAGGAAAGUGGAAUUCCCAGUGUAGCGGUGAAAUGCGUAGAUAUUGGGAGGAACACCAGUGGCGAAGGCGACUUUCUGGACGAUAACUGACGCUGAGGCGCGAAAGCGUGGGGAGCAAACAGGAUUAGAUACCCUGGUAGUCCACGCUGUAAACGAUGGAUACUAGGUGUGGGAGGUAUCGACCCCUUCCGUGCCGCAGUUAACACAAUAAGUAUCCCACCUGGGGAGUACGGCCGCAAGGUUGAA
rnacentral:rRNA from 1 species